rnacentral:rRNA from 1 species
UACGGGGGGAGCAAGCGUUGUUCGGAUUGACUGGGCGUAAAGCGCACGCAGGCGGAUGCGCGCGUGGGGUGUGAAAUCUGGCCGCUUAACGGCCAGGCGCCAUCCCAUACGGCGCGUCUGGAGUGAUGCAGAGGUCGAUGGAAUUGCCGGUGUAGUGGUGAAAUGCGUAGAGAUCGGCAGGAACACCCAGGGGGAAACCAGUCGACUGGGCAUCUACUGACGCUGAGGUGCGAGAGCGUGGGGAGCGAACCGG